UGCCGGCGAGUCCGGCCGGUGCAUUCGUACCCUUAUCAUUCUCGCGCCCCGUGUGCAUAAUGAGACAACUGGACGGAGAACUGAUAAGGGCUCGUAUCACCAAUUCAUCAGGUUGUCCAUC
rnacentral:pre_miRNA from 15 species